CCUGUCCCCAAGUACCUAUAACUUUUAUUACCUUUCAGUCAUUAUUUUUUUUUAAUUUUAUCCUACAACACUCACAUACUUUCAAGCACGCUCUGGAUACCCGCGAUUUCGCGGGUGUGUUCUAGCAUUUAUCAGCCUUGCUUAAAGUAUUUCAGUUUGGGUUAUUUUGGGAGGAAAACGAAAAUAUAGGCGUCCAUAUAUUGUUUCCGUCAUCGGACUGACUUUUUGAGAAAUAAAAAGACUUCCGUUGCCCUUUAGGCCUGUUUUGAAAUUAAACAUAAUUUGCAUAAGUACUUAAUUGGGACAGAACAAUUAUUACAUACAAAAUCAUACAUAUACUAUAGAUAAAGUGUAUUUGCCAUUUAUAUAAAUUAUCAAUUCCAAUAGUUUUCUAUCCAUGGC
rnacentral:lncRNA from 1 species